UUUAAAUUUGAGAAAAAAGAGAUUCACAUAAAUCAACCAUGAUGAAAAAAAAAAAAAAAAAGAUUAUAAAGAGGAACUGAUGGAAUUUUGUGGCCAAAUGAAUUGCCAAGUGGCAAAUAUUUCUUUAGUUGGCAAGACUCGUUUUGCUGCCACGUACCCUUUUUCUGCUUUCUGUUUUCUGUAAAUUCAUAAAGCAGCUUCAGCUUCAGCUUUCCAUUCGUAGUUGGUGCCGGGCAACGGCAUUGGUGCCUGAAUAUAGUGUGUUCGAUCGAACGAGUUCCUUUUUUUUGUUUCUGCCUCUCGGCCUAAAAAUCGUUCGAUUAAAGAGGUUUCUCAUGAUGGAUUUCACCCGCCACCUAGUUUUUGGCCUUUGGGAAGGUGAUGGAACUCUUAUGAUGUCUGUGGGGCUUGGAAGAUUCUAAAUGUCGACUUCAUUACUGGAAAAUGGGUUCUGUAGUACAUGGAUGAGUCAAUGAAACAGAGAUUUUGGUAUUUAAAAGAAUCAGUAGAGUUAAUAGAUCCUAUGAGAGGCAUAUUCAGAACUUAACACCAGAUUGGGCUUUAUUGAAAUACAGUAGCCUUGGCUUCUCUAUUAGACUUUUUUCUUUGGACCUUGUAGCCAUAAUAAAAAAGGUAGAAGUAGAAGAAAUUCGUGUUUAA